rnacentral:rRNA from 1 species
GACGAACGCUGGCGGCGUGCCUAAUACAUGCAAGUAGAACGCUGAAGAGAGGAGCUUGCUCUUCUUGGAUGAGUUGCGAACGGGUGAGUAACGCGUAGGUAACCUGCCUUGUAGCGGGGGAUAACUAUUGGAAACGAUAGCUAAUACCGCAUAACAAUGGAUGACACAUGUCAUUUAUUUGAAGGGGGCAAUUGCUCCACUACAAGAUGGACCUGCGUUGUAUUAGCUAGUAGGUGAGGUAAUGGCUCACCUAGGCGACGAUACAUAGCCGACCUGAGAGGGUGGUCGGCCACACUGGGACUGGGACACGGCCCAGACUCCUACGGGAGGCAGCAGUAGGGAAUCUUCGGCAAUGGGGGCAACCCUGAACGAGCAACGCCGCGUGAGUGAAGAAGGUUUUCGGAUCGUAAAGCUCUGUUGUAAGUCAAGAACGGGUGUGAGAGUGGAAAGUUCACACUGUGACGGUAGCUUACCAGAAAGGGACGGCUAACUACGUG